GUUCCCUCCAGGGAUUUCCAGAUCAACUGCUCGGCAGAGGAACCCUGGAUUGAGAAGAACCUAUGACAUGGAGGGUUUGGUGGAGUUGUUAAACCGAGCUCAGUGCUGCAGUGCUGAUGAUCAGCGAGGCCUCCUGAAGAAAGAACAUCUAAUGCUGCCUCAGUUCCUCCAGUUACCCUUGGAAGACGUGGAGGAAUCUGAGACAAUCAGGUCACUGGAGGACUCCUGCUCCAGUAUGGGAUCACUUGAAGUGGAUUCUCCUGCAGUACAAUCAAACACAUUAGGGAAGGAACAAUCAGAGAAUGAGUGCUCAAACCCAGCUAGAGAAACUGUGGUGUGAGCUAAACAGACUUGUUACAUCCUUUGCUUUAAUGAUCAGUCACACUGGAGCAUGACGAAUAGAGAAUAAUGUUUAAGGAACAUGAACAUGACAGUCUUUAAUGAUGGACAAUUGUCAUUAGAAUUUUUUAUUUUUUUUUUUUGAUAAAAGCAAUGCUAUGAAACAUUGUUUACAGUCGAUGUAAUUCUGCACAUGUUAAUGUCCCGCUGCUUGUAUUUAUUUCAAAAUGAUUUACAUAACAAAAAUACAUUCUAUCUGUUUUCAUAAAGUCAUUGCAUAUUGGCUUAAAGGUUCCACUGCAAUCAUUGGAAAUUGGUUUUGAUAAAAAUGUAUUGUGUAUAAUUUACUGUAUGUUAACAUUAGUUAAUGCAUUAGUUAUCAUGAGCAAACAGUUAUUAAUCUAGAUUCAUUUUAAUUUAUAAAUGUAUAAAUUUGCCUUUAAUAUUAAAAACAUUCGUUUAUGGAAAAAUUUACAUUAAUAUUUCAAGUGUUUAAUGACUUUAACAGUUUUCUUAAUGUACAGUAAUGUUUCUGGGUGAAACAGGAUAUUUUUAAAAACAAAGGACAGGACAUUUUUUUUCUUUUUUUUUCUCCGUUGUGAUUUUUUUUCCUUGAUCGGAUCAUGAAAAGUAGGGUUUCAUUGAGUGAUUCCAUACAAGAAUGAGUGAGAUUUGGAGGCUCAAGUUCACCCUUGAGUGUGUCUAAUGUACCAAUGGUUCUUUUUAAAAUUGUAAUUAGGGGCCAAGCACCGAAAAUUAUAUAAGUUUCUGUUCGUUUUCUUAUUAUUCCUCCCAAAUGGGAGUCAAUAGCAGCUCUAUGAACAGUACAUAAGAAAAUUAUGGAAAAUGGCACAAUCCUUGGGCACCGCAGCGCAAAUGGCUGCCCACCGCUCCGGGUGUGUGUUUCAUGGUGUGUGUGUGUGUGUGUGUGUGUGUNCACUGCUGUGUGUGUACACUUGGAUGGGAUAAAUGCAGAGCACAAGUAUGGUGUCCCAUACUCAGCUACACUUCAUGUCACUUUCACUUUCAUUUUUCACUUUCACAAUUAUAGUGAUGGUAAUGAAUAGUAAUAUGGCCAACUUUGGGGUCUCUAGGACAUACUCUAUAGUGCCACCACCAGUUAAAAAAUUUAAUUUUCCAAUGGUUAUAAGUUUUGAAGCCUUUGUUCUAGAAAUAGUUUUUUGGUACACCUGAUUACUCUCCUCAAGAUGAUCAAAUUCACUAUCUUACAUAAAGACUCUGCCAUUUUAAAAUGUACUGUACUGUACUGUUUUUUAUUUUAUUUUUUUACACUUCUUAAAAUUUGGUCGAAUUCUCAAUAGAUGAUCAUUAGACAGAGCCACAGUGAACUGAAUUUUGAUAUUACUUUUUGUUAAAAAGUUAUGAUGAUUUGUUAAUGAAUUAGAUGCUGUAUCUCUGCAAAACUUUGACCUAUCGAAACAAAACUCUUCACAUUUCAUUAGCAUCGUGAUCUGAGGGUCAUACGAUCAAAAAAUGGCUAUUUCUGUUCAUAACUUUUAAAAUGUUUGUCAGAAAAUUAUAAGCUUUGGUAGGGUCAUUGACGGCAUGUCCUGAAGGUACCAGAGACAUUUACAGACAGUGCCACCUAGCCUUCAGAAGAUAUAAGGCUUUUUACAAAAACUUUUGAAAACUUUGUACAAAAUGUAAUUUGUGACAUUACAUUUCUUGAAUUAUGAUUCCAUUGAUCUCUAACAUGCCAUUUUCAAACAUUUUACUGGUCCACUGUUUUUAGGUAUACAGUAUGAAUUUUUUUUCUACUCCUACAAAUCUUUCCACUUUUGUCUAAAAUCAGUUCCUGUUUGGUGACGUUUCAGACAGUUCUGAGCAUAAAAUAACAGUCUUGCUUUGCAUUUCUAUUCUAUUGUGCCUUUGAAAUGAACACUGCAGUUCUUCAGAUUGUUUCCUGUGACAUGCUUGCUGUGCUUACUGUAAUUUCCGUGCUAGCUGUAUUUGUCGUAUCUGCUGUGCUUUCAGUGCCUGGCCCCGAAUUGCUGCUUGCAGCUAUAUUCUCCUUUUAUUACUGUAACUUUUACAACAAUAAAUUUAUCAGAUUUUUAUGCA
ensembl:lncRNA